GGGUUAAACCAGACCAAACCCGGUUCGAAGACCUGAAUCACAGUAAGGUAAUAUCUGACCAUUUAUCCAGUUGCACAUAGGCCCCAAUACCCACCUGCUCAGUUCCCUCAUCCAGAGUAAACAGAUGCCAUGUACCACCUGGUGCAGGUACGUGACAAUCUAGAAACCCAGGCUUUCCUUUCUUCAGGGAUUCACCCUUCUCAUGGCAGUGAUGCCAGUUUUCCAAAGGGGAUAUAUAUAUAUAUAUAAUUUUAAGAAUACAGUUUUAAAUUCUGUGAAAUGAAAAGCCACUGAGGCAACUGCUAAGAAAACUCAGUGUUUUCUACUAUGCCUGAAAAUUAAAAUUUUAGUAAUUAAUCUUGUUUUAUCGAUUACUUCCAGGCAAUUCCUUGAUAUACAUCGGGUCAAGAUUAACUUAUAAAUACUUAGGUGAAAACAUUCCUCCUACUCUCGUUUUACCUUUGAUUAAUUUGAAUAUCAUGAGACAAAUGAAGUUAAAAAGAGGGUGGGAUCAGUUUCCUGGUCCCGGCAUACUGAGAAACACCAGUAACCACCACUUUGUCACAGGAUCCCUCACAUCCACAAGUGCUUUGUCCACAGAGCUCACAUAAUUUGUAUUUUAAAAAGCAAGGAAAGGAAAUUACAAAUCAUUACCCGGAGCGUGACCAAUAAUGCAUUUACUGUUGUCUUGCUAUGCUGCAGAAAAAGAGAGGGCAACAUUCCUGCUAUGCUCUGACGCCUUCCAGUCCCUUAACCCUCACUCUGUGAGGCAGCGGCUAUUACCACUGUUUCACACAAGUCCAGAAAGGUAAAAGGGUGAAAAAACUUGCCUGUGCAGCCAGGAUUCCCCUCAGGUCUACCUCUGUCCAAGACCCAUGUUCUUUUUAUUAUCCCCACCUCUCCCCACCCCCUGCUGCUGCGGUCCCAAAUAGCCACUGGAGUUAAUGAGAUGUAUAUUUUUUUAACUUUAGAAAAAGAUCAACAAUAAAAUAUUCUCCAAAUCAAGCCUUGCAUUUAUCCCUCCCUUGCCCUCUAUACUGCUUAGGUGUUGAUUUGACAAAAGAGAAAGCAGUGGAUAGUCCUUAGCUAGGAUCUGGUCCUACCUCCGCUAUUUAACUAUAACCAAUCCAGUAGCCAUGAAGAAUGAGAAAAGUUAGAGAAGAAAAACAAAAUAUAGAUUAAAGAAACUGAAUGACUGGCAUAACUAACUUAUUAAAUAAGUUCUAAAUACGAAACCCUAAUAAAUUUAGAAAUCAGUUACAGGAGUGUCGACACAAUCCUUCAGAAAGACAUCAUCUAAAUCUCAGCCUUUGCUGACUAACAGAUCCCCAACCUCCUUGAACUUGUCUUAUUGAUAAAAUGAUGGUGUUGAGCCACAGGGCAUCAAAGGCAGGUGAAUGGUGCUUAACUUUUCUGAGUCAGGGACCCCUUUUCAGACUGAUGAAAAUCAUGCUCUCUCCCCGCAAUUACGCACAAGAGCAGAGAUCCACAGUGCUCUGUAGCAAUUUCAGGGGGGCUCAAGGGCCUUCUGAAGCCCACCAGUGGACCCUAAGUUUACAGACCCUCUGCUCUGGAGUGUGCCCUAGAGUCUCCAGAGUCUUCUGCCUUUUCUAAAAGUUCUAUACAGUGAUCACAUGGGUUAGGUUAUUUCAAUGUUCUUCAUUCAUUUUAACAAACAUUUAACUGGGACCUCAAGGGGGAUCAUUGCAAAAUGGCAGCAAGUAUACCCAGUGCUUCAAACAGUCCUUGGCACACAGUAAGUGCUCAAUAAGUAUUUGUUAAAUGAAUGAAAGUACUUAAGCACACAUCCUAUCAUGUAUAUUUUUAAAAGCCAUGUAACUACUUACCUAUUCUCUAAUUCCAUUUAAUAUCCCCAUAAGCAAUAGCCAAUAUUUAAUAUAUCUUUAAUUGAAAUAUCUAAAGUUAUUUUUAAUACUACUGAAGAAAUAAAGGCCUCUGUUAGAUCAUUUCACAUUUGUUAAACCGUAGCACUCUGUUAAGCGGACAUUUGUAAAAAAAAAAAAAAAUAUAUAUAUAUAUACACACACACAUAUAUUUUGAGAAUUAGAAAAACAGUAGUCAACUCUGUUUACAAUCAACAGCAAAAUAUACCUCUAAAAAGUUACUAAUUUUUAUCAUUCAUCUCUUUUAGAAAUAAAAGAAGUGUCCAUAUUUUCCACUCAGUACUUUCAUUUCUUAGCUUUUACAUAAAAAUGGGUUGUAUUAAGCUUCACUUGUUUUUCUACCAUAUUAACUUUAAACUAACAAAUUGAGUAAUUUUGUUAUUAAAAAAAACACUGCAUACCAACCAGUUUUAGGCUUAGAGAUAAAAUCCAUACCUACCCACAUACCCUCUGAUUUUUGCACUUGACAUAAAUAAUUUGAUCAACACAUAAACAGGGAAAAACUAAGACGAAGUAGUUCUGACAAAAUUCCAGACUGGUGUAACCCCAUGGCAACAGUUCUCAAAGAGCACACCCAGCUG